UAUCAAAACAAACCAAAUAAGUACCACGGCAGGUGAAAAAUGACCUAGCGAUUUUGUCGUGCAUAAUAUAUGAUUCUUCGCUGUAAACACGAUCAAAACAAACGAAAAACUACGCGAGGCUUUUCGUAUCGCUGCAACAAUAACACGGAGAGGAUUCCUGCCAAGAAAAAUAUAACACAUUGUGUAACCAGACGUUUCAGAUUCUGAUCCAAUAUCGCCAUGUCGAAGAUGGUUGACGCAUUCUGUAGUUUGCUCUGGGGUAUCAUCUGGCUAAUCAUCCUCUUCAUAGUAGCCUUCCCUAUCGGUUUUAUUGCUGCUAUACUCUUCAUCCUUAUCUCGCCUCUCAACGUAUGCUGCGAUUGUACAUUAUCUUUGACCGAUUUUCUCAAGAAAGGAUUGGAAUUUCCUUACAACGCAGCUCAAAAUGCGGUAAACGGAAAAAGAGGAUGUUAAACUGAGAUAACACUGGAACAUAUUUGUGGACAGCACUUAUUUAGACAUCUAUAUAAAUAGUGAAGUAGAGUGCACGCACUAAAUCCGUGAACAUUAAUCAGUACUAAUGAGUACUAUUUCAUACAGAAUCCUUUGUUUUCUAUUGUUUAUUUAUCACCAUUUAGUACUAAAAGUUAGUAUUUGUUUCACGGGUUUAGUGCGUGCACUCUAUUAAAUAGAGCUAUAAAGCCCAGUAAAACAGUGAAACGCCAGUCGAAAAGCCGAAAUCAGUUCUUGGAAACUACAAUAACCGCAAAAAACAACAACAACAACAACAACAAAAAAAACAAAAACAACAACACAAGAACGUACGGGCCUUUAGAAUAAACCUUCUUUGAAGAGAAAAAUACUAAAAACAAAUUAACAGAACUCCCCAUAUUUUUCAAACAUAAGAUAAGUAUCCCUCUCCCUCGAUAUGCUAACAUCCCAACCCCGAUAACUGGUAACUAAAGAUUAUAGCAACCCACGUAAAACCAAGUAUGAAAAAGUUAUAAAACUACUAAAAACAACUCCAAUUUUUGCUACAGUAAUUUAUAAUUCACCUUAAAAUAACAUGCAUAUAAAAUCCUAAAACAGCAAGGAUAUUUUACCUUAUCUUAAAUAAUCAAAAGCUAUAUCCUGUAUAACAUUGAAUUAUUUCAGCAAUAAUAUUAUUAAAAUAGAGAUAGGAUUUCAUUAA